ACCAAAAUGCCGCUCGUCACUUCCUGCUCCGGCCGGCCGCCUACCAUCCUGGCCACUUCACGCUGGCCGUACCCCACCGUGGAAGUAUAACAAGAACAUAGAGCUGGAGGACCACAGGUGCCAAAUGGUUCCCUCAGAAACACCGGUGUACGAGGAGAGCGCGGAGCCGCAGCAGCGGCGACCACAUGAUAAGAAGCCUUAACCAGAAGCCACCAGGAAACAGCAGCAGCUGUAGGAGACGCGAGGAGAACAGAAGCAGGUGGACGCUGAGACACACAGAGCUUAGGAACAGUCUUUCAAGCACAUCCAUAUAUUCAUUGCCUGACAGGCGCAGUUACAAUCCAUUUCACGG